rnacentral:rRNA from 1 species
UACGGGGGGAGCAAGUGUUGUUCGGAUUUACUGGGCGUAAAGGGCGCGUAGGCGGCCUGCUAAGUCACACGUGAAAUCCCUCGGCUCAACCGGGGAACUGCGUGUGAUACUGGCGGGCUUGAAUUCGGGAGAGGGAUGUGAAAUUCCAGGUGUAGCGGUGAAAUGCGUAGAUAUCUGGAGGAACACCGGUGGCGAAGGCGGCAUCCUGGACCGAGAUUGACGCUGAGGCGCGAAAGCUAGGGUAGCAAACGGG